CAAGCACACAAACAAAAGAGGGAGAACCUCACUGCUCCUCUUUGCACGUCUGUUUUUUUGUUUUUUUGUUUUUUUUGAGGAAUAUCUGAGGUUUCUGUUUUGACGCACAUUGGGCUCAAAUGAACACUGACUCUGAGUCUUGUAUCUGGGAGUGGGUAAGUGUUUGAAUGCCCUUUUUUCAGUUCUCUUAGGGAAGUGGGAACAAUUUAAGGCUGUUGUUGCUUUUUUUCUCUUUCUUUCUUUUUUAAAUAUGAUGCAUCGGCACAGUGGCAGUGGGAGAAGGAAGCAGCAGCAGAAGCAGCUUCCCUCCCUCUUUCUCUGUCUUUCUCUCUUGGCUCGCUCUCUCCUUCUUGUCACAGAGACAAAUUCUGCAGGCGUGCGACACGGCCGGCUUUAAUGGCAUUCCAGUUGCAAAAAAAAAAGGGCGUCAAAAUGUAGCAUCUGAGGAUAGCAGAGGGGCAAUAUAGGCGUGUGAGUGGAAAUGGGGCAUGCAGGCAUGGCGGGAGUGCUGGGAGGAGAGAAAGCAGCCAGGGUGGCACAUUGACUGGAGGAUCGCCAACCGCUCUCAAACAGCAUGCAACAGGCGUGGGCAGUAAUGCCUGUGUGAUUGGGCUGUGCUGGGUGAUGAUUUUAAUAAACACACACCCGCAGAGGUGGCCACAGGUCAACCGUGUUUGGAUUCAUCAGGUGCACAGGACGCAAGCUGGAAUGAAAAGCUUGGUGGUGGGCUGGAUCCACACCUGGACCAUAUUUCACCAGGGUGCAUACUAGAGAAUGGAUUGGAUCAUAGGUGAAAGUGUAUUCUUACCUGG